rnacentral:rRNA from 1 species
UACGGAGGAUGCGAGCGUUAUCCGGAUUUAUUGGGUUUAAAGGGUGCGUAGGCGGGCUUUUAAGUCAGCGGUAAAAAUUCGGGGCUCAACCCCGUCCGGCCGUUGAAACUGGGGGUCUUGAGUGGGCGAGAAGAAGGCGGAAUGCGUGGUGUAGCGGUGAAAUGCAUAGAUAUCACGCAGAACCCCGAUUGCGAAGGCAGCCUUCCGGCGCCCUACUGACGUUGAGGCUCGAAAGCGUGGGGAGCAAACAGG